CCGCCCAGGGCGCCACCGACGCCGGCACGGGUGUCGCCGUCCGCGACGGCGGUGCCACCAACCAGCGCAAGAGACAACAGGAGCAUCGAGGAGUACUUCAUAGAGAGGAUCUCUCUGUGGGGAUGUUGGAUGCGAUCCUGUGUUCGUGCGAAGGCUCUGACAAGGCACUUCCGACGAAUAGCACGACUUUCAUCAAAUAAUGCAAGUAUUUGAUUUAAGGUCAGAACUUUUUCGAUUUUGCGCGGUCUGAGUGUUAUUCCGGGGUUUUGUUUUGUGUGUGUUUUUACCGCAAACUGCCAUUGCAAUGAUGGCUUUUCACGAUUCGCCACCGGAUUCCCCAAGUGUACCUUCCAGUCCUUUCCCGAGUGAUGUGUUUUCGGCGGAUUCUUCGCA
rnacentral:sRNA from 1 species